UGGGGAAUAUUGCACAAUGGGCGCAAGCCUGAUGCAGCCAUGCCGCGUGUAUGAAGAAGGCCUUCGGGUUGUAAAGUACUUUCAGCGGGGAGGAAGGCGAUGCGGUUAAUAACCGCGUCGAUUGACGUUACCCGCAGAAGAAGCACCGGCUAACUCCGUGCCAGCAGCCGCGGUAAUACGGAGGGUGCAAGCGUUAAUGGGAAUUACUGGGCGUAAAGCGCACGCAGGCGGUCUGUCAAGUCGGAUGUGAAAUCCCCGGGCUCAACCUGGGAACUGCAUCCGAAACUGGCAGGCUUGAGUCUCGUAGAGGGGGGUAGAAUUCCAGGUGUAGCGGUGAAAUGCGUAGAGAUCUGGAGGAAUACCGGUGGCGAAGGCGGCCCCCUGGACGAAGACUGACGCUCAGGUGCGAAAGCGUGGGGAGCAAACA
rnacentral:rRNA from 1 species